rnacentral:rRNA from 1 species
GACGAACGCUGGCGGCGUGCUUAACACAUGCAAGUCGAACGAGGUCCUACCAGUGGCAACACUGGGAACGACCGAGUGGCGAACGGGUGAGUAACACGUGAGGAACCUGCCCCGAAGACCGGGAUAACCCUCCGAAAGGAGAGCUAAUACCGGAUGCCCUCUUCUGAUCGCAUGGUCGGAUGAGGAAAGGUUUUCUGCUUCGGGGAGGGCCUCGCGGCCUAUCAGCUUGUUGGUGAGGUAACGCUCACCAAGGCUACGACGGGUAGCUGGUCUGAGAGGACGAUCAGCCACACUGGGACUGAGACACGGCCCAGACUCCUACGGGAGGCUG